AAACUGUGAGUGAAAACUGUGUCCGCCCAUGUAUGGAGCGUCUUCAGAGCCUGGAAAAAGUAGUUGAGGAACUUAGCAACAAACCUGCUGCAAUCCCAUUGGAAAAAGAGCAAAUGCUUAUGGAAUCGCUGGAGAGGAUCAAGUCUGUGGAGUUUGACCUUGAGAAAACAAAGAGGGUACUACAUGCUACAGUUGUAAAGCAACUUGAGAUUUCUAACUCACUCGACAAUUUACGGGAGUCUAGAUGUCAUCACAGAAGAUUAUUCUGUUGAGGACCUGAAGUUUAAUAGUGGGACUAGCUAGAAAUUGGUGAAAUUGGGGAUAAGAGGAGAUUGAUUUGCAGAGACAGGAACCAAGAGGGC
rnacentral:misc_RNA from 1 species